rnacentral:tRNA from 1 species
CUCCUUGUAGUGCAAUGGUAGCGCGUUGGACCUCUAAUCCAAAGGUCGUGGGUUCGAAUCCCACCUGAGAUG